rnacentral:rRNA from 1 species
AGUGAACGCUGGCGGUAGGCCUAACACAUGCAAGUCGAACGGCAGCACAGUAAGAGCUUGCUCUUACGUGUGUCGAGUGGCGGACGGUUGAGGAAUACAUCGGAAUCUACUUUUUCGUGGGGGAUAACGUAGGGAAAGUUACGCUAAUACCGCAUACGACCUCCGGGUGAAAGCAGGGGAUCUUCGGACCUUGCGCGAUUGAAUGAGCCGAUGUCGGAUUAGCUAGUUGGCGGGGUAUAGGCCCACCAAGGCGACGAUCCGUAGCUGGUCUGAGAGGAUGAUCAGCUAGCCUGGAACUGAGACACGGCCCAGACACCUACAGGAGGCAGCAGUGGGGAAUAUUGGGCGAUGGGCGCAAGCCUGAUCCAGCCAUACCGCGUGAGUGAAGAAGGACUUCGGGUUGUAAAGCCCCUUUGUUGGGAAAGAAAAGCAGCAGUUUAAUACCCCGCUGUUCUGACGGUACCCAAAGAAUAAGCACCGGCUAACUUCGUG